UCUUCUUCGUCGCCGCCCCAGCCUCUCCUCCCGCGAACGACCUCCGCGGGCUUCCACGCGGAUGUGUGCUCCGGCAUCGUCGAUGUGGACCUCCGUGGGCGCAACACAUGGGAGGAGGGGCAUCUCGCCGAGUUCCCUAGACCGGCCAUGGCAUCGCGGUGCCACGCCUAUCUGCCCUCUGCGCGAGCUCAAGUGGGAGGUAUGGAGGUGGGACGUCGGACCCUCACCGGCAAGAGGCCACGAAGCAGGAGGCGACCGUGGCCUCCCCCAACCCCCUGCAGCUUCGGCCGCAUCGUCGUGCUGCUGCAGCCGAGAGGGAAUCAGCGCGGGGGGCCGUAUUCCCUGUCCGAUCUCUACUUCUACCGGCUUUCCCGAGCUCCCCUUGCUCAAUCUUCAUUUUCCUUCCUCUACUUGCAAUCUGUAUCAAGAUCUCCAGGGUGCUUACGCCGGAGCCAUACACGUGAGCUCUGUGAUAGGUGGCUCGCUCUCACGUCACCGUCUUUGAUGCGGAGGUGCCGCUUCGUCGCCUACGGAUGGCCGGCCGCGCCGGUAUGCCCCGCGGCCGGCAAGGCAGGUUGUCGUCUCCUCUACCACCGCGUCGGCAUAGCGAUUUCCAAGAGGCUGAUGUUGUCAUCUCGGGGGACAGGGGAGCGCAAGGGGAUGUGGGUGCAGAAGAGCGGCGGGUGAUUGGGGUUCAUCUCCGAUACCAUGGAGGUCGUACUCAAGGUCGAAUCUACUCUGUCACUCUGGCGAUGCAGAAUUUGCAGCCACACAGGAGAUUCAGAUGAGAUAUGAAGGCAAUCAGGUUGAGCAGUGCGUGUUCGAGGCUUGGUAAGCCAGGUCGUGGGCAGGGCCGUGAUCGCUUUGUUCGGUUUGCCGUUCCUCUUGUUCCGCUCGCCACCGAUGGACGCCACGCCACAGCUCCUCUCGUGGGCUACGGUAAGGUGCUCCACCUCUAGCCCUUGCAGGUUGUUUUCGGUCGCCUCAAUGUUUGAGCCAAGCUAGGUUUACAUCCACUUAGCAUAGACUAUCCUUCAGCUGUUGUUUGGCCCGUUCUUGCAUCUGUACUCGCUGUUCGUCAAGUCCGCAAGCACUACCUUGCAGGUCUUUCGUCAAGUGCAAGAAAAAAUAGAGAACUAGAGAUCAGGCUGGAACCAUAUCAUAUCGCACUCCCGUAAUUUUUUUAUUGAAUGUGACUUGGUUUUGUUCCCAUUCAAAGGAACUCGAAUUUAGCACUUAA